rnacentral:rRNA from 1 species
AGGAUCAUUAUCGAAUUCUGGAGGGUGGGCCACACGGCCGAGCUCAGAGACUGUCGCUGGCCCCUUGUGGGGGGCAUGUUGCACCUCUCCCCUCGUCGUCAACCCAUUCGCCUUCUCUCUCACCCCCUGUGCACCCGUUGUAGGUCCUCGAAAAGAGGAUCUAUGUUUUUUCAUAUCACACCCAUCGCAUGUCUAUAGAAUGUAAUGUAUUGAGAUCGUCGACCUGUCUCACAGGCCUGGCGGCUCAAUGAAAUCCAUACAACUUUCAGCAACGGAUCUCUUGGCUCUCGCAUCGAUGAAGAACGCAGCGAAUUGCGAUAAGUAAUGUGAAUUGCAGAUUUUCAGUGAAUCAUCGAAUCUUUGAACGCACCUUGCGCUCCUUGGUAUUCCGAGGAGCAUGCCUGUUUGAGUGUCAUCGAAUUCUCAACCAUGUCUUGAUCGAUUGUCAAGGUCCAUGGCUUGGAGUUUGGGGGUUUGCUGGCGGCGACGCGCUGUCAGCUCUCCUGAAAUGCAUUAGCGAAGGGCAGCAAGUCUUUGACGUGCACGGCCCUCGACGUGAUAAUGAUCGUCGUGGCUGGAGCGGUUCAGACAUGCACGAAUGGUCCUGUGCUUCUAAUCUUCCCUACCCUGGCCCUCGNGUCACGUCGCUUUAGCUACUAGUUGGUCGUGAGGCUGACGAACGUUGAAGCGUGCGUGGUCGCUGGCUGGCGUGUUUUCGAAACUUGA